UACGUAGGGGGCAAGCGUUGUCCGGAUUUAUUGGGCGUAAAGAGCGUGUAGGCGGCCUGAAAGGUCAGCUGUGAAAACUCGAGGCUCAACCUCGAGACGUCGGUUGAAACCAUCUGGCUAGAGUCCGGAAGAGGAGUGUGGAAUUCCCGGUGUAGCGGUGAAAUGCGCAGAUAUCGGGAAGAACACCCGUGGCGAGGCGGCACUCUGGGACGGUACUGACGCUGAGACGCGAAAGCGUGGGGGAGCGAACAGG
rnacentral:rRNA from 1 species